AAUAAGCCGAAACCUUACAUCAAGGUGCGGGGGACGAAAGCUGAAAACGAAUCUGUGAGGUAUGAACACACGUUUUCUUGGGGUGAAGCGCAUCAACAGGAUGCGCCGGGAACGUUCCUUUUUUUCCGAAUCCGACAACUAACUCCGCAGGCGCAGUUAAAAGGA
rnacentral:sRNA from 1 species